CAUUAAAAUUCCAUUGAGAAAAAUUUGCAUAAAAUAUUAUGCAUAAACCAAAUAAAUUAUUCGUUUUAUAUUCGAAUAUGAUGAUCGAGAUUAUUUCUUCGUUCAAAAUAAUUAUUUCGACGAACUCGUCGGUAUACGUGUAUUCAUCCGUAUCGACGUUGCAAAAAAAUUUAAUUCUAAUACGAAAGUUCCUAGGGAAGAUUUAUCACGCGUAACGUGCGUGUAUUUAUUUCUAUCUAUUAUAACGCUUUUACAUGUUCGAGGAAGGAACGAGUUAGAAAGUUCGUUUGUUAUUGGAAAGUUUAUAAAUUAGUUUCCGUUGGCUGGAAAACCCGAGGCGGUCCAACUACUUAUCGUAACGUGUAAACGAUAAAUAGCCGUUGAUGCAGUUCCGUGUCUCUUGCGAUCGAGCGUGUUCAUCGAGCAAGACGCGAUUAACAUUAACGAGAAAAAGGGACGGCGCAACUCGUUCUAUGCAAAUCACUCUCGGUGCUCUCAUUGUAAAAUAAGAAUUUUCCAUGGUGUAUCGUACCGCGGGUGAACAGACUUGUAGUUAUAUAAAUCUUAUUAGAAGGUAAUCUUGUUUCUCGUUGUACACGUUCGUGCUUGUAUCUUGAUGUUUGUAAAUCUUACGCGAUACAUUUUCAACAGGCGAACAAAUUACGAAGUUUCUUAGGUUAGGUUAACGGUACGAUGAUGUUGGUGAGAAUCGUUGCAAUCCCCGUUUCUUCGCGUUUCAUCUCGAAUUUCUCCUCCUGAAAUGUUACUAUCGUUCUUAUUUAUCAUCCUGUGAAACCUUCAUUCGAUUCUUUUUUUUAGCGAGACGUUAAGACAUUUUUUCAAAUUUGAAAAAUACUCGAAAAUCGAGGUGCAUUUAAAUCGAAAAAUAUAAAUGGAAACGAAUCGUAUCAAAUUAUAUCGAAAAUGCAAGGAAGAUCGAAAGGAAAAAUUAAAUAGGUUAUGUUAGGUUAUGUUAUGUCGCUCGUUACGGUUACCUACCUGUAUUUUUGUAAUGUAGAUAUAGAAAAAAAGAAAAUUCGCAAUAUCUAAAAAGUUUAUAUAUACGUAGUGUGAUCACUUGUCACGAGAUGUCCUUGAUUACAUUCAUACGUUCCAGGGACUCCUCCUCUUUGUACAUAUUUUUCAAAGAGAAUCGUAGUGUAUUACAGAUCGCAGUGGCGAAAAGUACGCAUAUUCACGCCAAAUGUUAUAUCGCUAAAGGGACCUUUGUGCAAUUUAAAGCAAAGUCAUGUAUUACAUAGAUAUUUCUUUGAGAACUAUUCUUCCCCGGGAACUGCUCUACUUUUCGUUUCGUUGCUCUACUUCCGCUUAACAUGGACUCGGCCGGUAAAAGUUUCUAUCCAGAACCAUACCCCUGUACCAGUUUUUCCUCUCUUCUCGUAUUGACGUUAAUAGCAUCGAUGUAAGAAUAAAUAGAUACGUUACAUCUAGUGGAUAAGAUAUGUUAGUAUACUGCUAUGUAUACUCGCUUACAUAUACUGUACUAUAGAGUAUACACGUAACCGAGACCUCUUGGAACAUUAGCUGCGCAGUCGCAGUAAACUAAUUGUAAGAUCACGUGUGCUUACGAUCAACGAAUACGCUGGUGAAAUUUCCAAAGUAAAUAUUGCGGUUGGCUAGAGCGUAACAAUCUCGUAAACUUUCCAUAAGCGAUUAAAUUGACUUGGCACGCGUCGGUGUAAUUGAUUCGAUCAGCUUUGAAAUCUGUAUUAAAUAGUUUCAAGAUAUUUACGUGCAACGCGUAAUUAAUAUUUCGAUCGAUACGAAUGAUCGAGAAUACGGAUCAUAUGCGCGUUUAAUCGAGUGAUUUCUUCGCGACAAUCAACCAUCUUUAUUUUAAGGAGGAAGAAUUUUUUUUUUUACGCCUAAGGAAAAUGCAAUCAUCGUCUUCGAUGGAGCGCAACACGAAGGAAACAUUGAGACGCGCGAAUUUUCCCUUUGAGAAGCUCGAUAUGAUAUCGAUCCCACGAGAUUCCACAGACUCGGCAGAAUCCGAUGGAGGGGGGAAGGAAAAUAAAAAAAAAAACGGUGGAACUAGGUGCGGAACAGUCUUUGGAUUUUAAAACGAUCCAGGGAUUUAUUCGAGGGCUUGAACUUUUCUCAUUGUUAACUUUAGUCUGCUAAAAGUUUAAGUCCCCUUAUCGCCUCAAUUUAUUCGUUGUUUUAAAUUUAGGAAUUUUUUAAAAUCUCUCUUUCUUUAUUUUUAUAAAAUCCUCCGAUGAUUUAUUCUUUAUCCCAACGAUCAUUCGUGUCGUGGAUUUUUUAUGAUCAUUUUUUACGAGAAUUGAAAUUACGAAAUUAUAUCAAUGAUUUCGAACCGUCGAGCCUAACGCGUUUACCCAAUUCACUGCCUUGGAUUAAUCAUCAAACGCGUGACAAAUCACUUCUAAAAAAAAAAAAAAAAAAAA
rnacentral:lncRNA from 11 species